rnacentral:lncRNA from 1 species
UAGAUCCCAGAAGAAGAGAGAGAGACAGGCACCAGGGGAAGCAGCCUUGACCCUUCACACACACACUUGGGGACAGAUGCAGUUGCCAGGCUCUUGUGGACCAAGUAUAGUGCCAGGAACACAUGGGAUGAGCUGAUACUCAAGCUCCUCCAACAGGGGACUGACUCUUGGUGAUCUCUGUGGAUGGACACCAUUGAGCAUCCGGGAGACCUCAAUGGACCACACAGAGGUUUUCGCAUUUCAAGAUCCCUGGAAGAUGAGUUGUUGCAUGAAGAAUAACAGCCUCCAAAGACAUCCGUGCUCUGA